rnacentral:lncRNA from 1 species
GCCCCGUGUGGCCCUGCGCACGCGCGCUCCAGUGACGCUCCAAGGGCGGAGAGCCAUCUCUCUUGCCCCCAAUUGGUACGCUGACGCUCCCCACCCUCUUCAGCAACACCAAUGAGCGAGACGCGGCGUUCCCGGGGCUCGCGGUCGUUCGUCGACUGUGCGGCGGGAAGGCUGGACAAGGAGCGGAUGUCCUGGGAAGAAGACCAAUGUGGAGACAAGGAAAGCAUCAGGCUUGAGAAAUGGGAUGCCCUCAGAAGCUGGGAAAGUGAGAGUAACAGAGAAAAG